rnacentral:rRNA from 1 species
UACGGAGGGUGCAAGCGUUAUCCGGAUUCACUGGGUUUAAAGGGCGCGUAGGCGGCCUUCUAAGUCGAACGUGAAAUCCCCGGGCUCAACCCGGGAACUGCGUCCGAUACUGGAAGGCUUGAAUCCGGGAGAGGGAUGCGGAAUUCCAGGUGUAGCGGUGAAAUGCGUAGAUAUCUGGAGGAACACCGGUGGCGAAGGCGGCAUCCUGGACCGGCAUUGACGCUGAGGCGCGAAAGCCAGGGGAGCAAACGGG